AGGGAAUAUUGCGCAAUGGGGGAAACCCUGACGCAGCGACGCCGCGUGAAGGAAGAAGGUUUUCGGAUCGUAAACUUCUUUGACUGGGGACGAAAGUAAUGACGGUACCCAGGGAACAAGCCACGGCUAACUACGUGCCAGCAGCCGCGGUAAUACGUAGGUGGCGAGCGUUGUCCGGAAUUACUGGGUGAAAAGGGCGUGUAGGCGGGAGAGCAAGUCAGAUGUGAAAGCCCAAGGCUCAACUUUGGGACUGCAUCUGAAACUGUUUUUCUUGAGUACUGGAGAGGGAAGCGGAAUUCCUAGUGUAGCGGUGAAAUGCGUAGAGAUUAGGAGGAACACCAGUGGCGAAGGCGGCUUCCUGGACAGAGACUGACGCUGAGGCGCGAAAGCGUGGGGAGCGAAC
rnacentral:rRNA from 1 species